UUCCGAUGGUGAACCUGCGGAGGGAUCAUUACCGAGUUUACAACUCCCAAACCCAAUGUGAACCAUACCAAACUGUUGCCUCGGCGGGGUCACGCCCCGGGUGCGUCGCAGCCCCGGAACCAGGCGCCCGCCGGAGGGACCAACCAAACUCUUUCUGUAGUCCCCUCGCGGACGUUAUUUCUUACAGCUCUGAGCAAAAAUUCAAAAUGAAUCAAAACUUUCAACAACGGAUCUCUUGGUUCUGGCAUCGAUGAAGAACGCAGCGAAAUGCGAUAAGUAAUGUGAAUUGCAGAAUUCAGUGAAUCAUCGAAUCUUUGAACGCACAUUGCGCCCGCCAGUAUUCUGGCGGGCAUGCCUGUCCGAGCGUCAUUUCAACCCUCGAACCCCUCCGGGGGGUCGGCGUUGGGGAUCGGGAACCCCUAAGACGGGAUCCCGGCCCCGAAAUACAGUGGCGGUCUCGCCGCAGCCUCUCCUGCGCAGUAGUUUGCACAACUCGCACCGGGAGCGCGGCGCGUCCACGUCCGUAAAACACCCAACUUCUGAAAUGUUGACCUCGGAUCAGGUAGGAAUACCCGCUGAACUUAAGCAUAUCAAUAAGCGGAGGA
rnacentral:rRNA from 1 species